CCUACGGGAGGCAGCAGUAGGGGAUAUUGCUCAAUGGGGGAAACCCUGAAGCAGCAACGCCGCGUGGAGGAUGAAGGUUUUCGGAUUGUAAACUCCUUUUGUCAGUGAAGAUAAUGACGGUAUCUAACGAAUAAGCACCGGCUAACUCCGUGCCAGCAGCCGCGGUAAUACGGAGGGUGCAAGCGUUACCCGGAAUCACUGGGCGUAAAGGGCGCGUAGGCGGGAUAGCAAGUCAGAUGUGAAAUCCUAUGGCUUAACCAUAGAACUGCAUUUGAAACUGUUAUUCUAGAGUAUGGGAGAGGUAGGUGGAAUUCUUGGUGUAGGGGUAAAAUCCGUAGAGAUCAAGAGGAAUACUCAUUGCGAAGGCGACCUACUGGAACAUAACUGACGCUGAUGCGCGAAAGCGUGGGGAGCAAACAGGAUUAGAUACCCCUGUAGUC
rnacentral:rRNA from 1 species